rnacentral:rRNA from 1 species
AAUCAACGCUGGCGGCGUGCCUAACACAUGCAAGUCGCACGAGAAAGGGGAGCAAUCCCUGAGUAAAGUGGCGCACGGGUGAGUAACACGUGAAUCAUCUACCUCCGAGUGGGGAAUAACUGAGAGAAAUCUUAGCUAAUACCGCAUAACACUUACGAGUCAAAGCAGCAAUGCGCUUGGAGAGGAGUUCGCGGCCGAUUAGUUAGUUGGCGGGGUAAGGCCCACCAAGACGAUGAUCGGUAUCCGGCCUGAGAGGGCGCACGGACACACUGGAACUGAAACACGGUCCAGACUCCUACGGGAGGCAGCAGUGGGGAAUUUUGCGCAAUGGGGGAAACCCUGGACGCAGCAACGCCGCGUGGAGGAUGAAGUAUCUUGGUACGU